CUGGAGGUAUCAGAAGUGCGAAUGCUGACAUAAGUAACGAUAAAGCGGGUGAAAAGCCCGCUCGCCGGAAGACCAAGGGUUCCUGUCCAACGUUAAUCGGGGCAGGGUGAGUCGACCCCUAAGGCGAGGCCGAAAGGCGUAGUCGAUGGGAAACAGGUUAAUAUUCCUGUACUUGGUGUUACUGCGAAGGGGGGACGGAGAAGGCUAUGUUGGCCGGGCGACGGUUGUCCCGGUUUAAGCGUGUAGGCUGGUUUUCCAGGCAAAUCCGGAAAAUCAAGGCUGAGGCGUGAUGACGAGGCACUACGGUGCUGAAGCAACAAAUGCCCUGCUUCCAGGAAAAGCCUCUAAGCAUCAGGUAACAUCAAAUCGUACCCCAAACCGACACAGGUGGUCAGGUAGAGAAUACCAAGGCGCUUGAGAGAACUCGGGUGAAGGAACUAGGCAAAAUGGUGCCGUAACUUCGGGAGAAGGCACGCUGAUAUGUAGGUGAAGCGACUUGCUCGUGGAGCUGAAAUCAGUCGAAGAUACCAGCUGGCUGCAACUGUUUAUUAAAAACACAGCACUGUGCAAACACGAAAGUGGACGUAUACGGUGUGACGCCUGCCCGGUGCCGGAAGGUUAAUUGAUGGGGUCAGCGCAAGCGAAGCUCUUGAUCGAAGCCCCGGUAAACGGCGGCCGUAACUAUAACGGUCCUAAGGUAGCGAAAUUCCUUGUCGGGUAAGUUCCGACCUGCACGAAUGGCGUAAUGAUGGCCAGGCUGUCUCCACCCGAGACUCAGUGAAAUUGAACUCGCUGUGAAGAUGCAGUGUACCCGCGGCAAGACGGAAAGACCCCGUGAACCUUUACUAUAGCUUGACACUGAACAUUGAGCCUUGAUGUGUAGGAUAGGUGGGAGGCUUUGAAGUGUGGACGCCAGUCUGCAUGGAGCCGACCUUGAAAUACCACCCUUUAAUGUUUGAUGUUCUAACGUUGACCCGUAAUCCGGGUUGCGGACAGUGUCUGGUGGGUAGUUUGACUGGGGCGGUCUCCUCCUAAAGAGUAACGGAGGAGCACGAAGGUUGGCUAAUCCUGGUCGGACAUCAGGAGGUUAGUGCAAUGGCAUAAGCCAGCUUGACUGCGAGCGUGACGGCGCGAGCAGGUGCGAAAGCAGGUCAUAGUGAUCCGGUGGUUCUGAAUGGAAGGGCCAUCGCUCAACGGAUAAAAGGUACUCCGGGGAUAACAGGCUGAUACCGCCCAAGAGUUCAUAUCGACGGCGGUGUUUGGCACCUCGAUGUCGGCUCAUCACAUCCUGGGGCUGAAGUAGGUCCCAAGGGUAUGGCUGUUCGCCAUUUAAAGUGGUACGCGAGCUGGGUUUAGAACGUCGUGAGACAGUUCGGUCCCUAUCUGCCGUGGGCGCUGGAGAACUGAGGGGGGCUGCUCCUAGUACGAGAGGACCGGAGUGGACGCAUCACUGGUGUUCGGGUUGUCAUGCCAAUGGCACUGCCCGGUAGCUAAAUGCGGAAGAGAUAAGUGCUGAAAGCAUCUAAGCACGAAACUUGCCCCGAGAUGAGUUCUCCCUGACUCCUUGAGAGUCCUGAAGGAACGUUGAAG
rnacentral:rRNA from 1 species